CCCAAGGACUCAAUGAAGAAGUGAAAGAAGAGUGAGAGAGAAAAGCUACCCUGUGUGGAAUGGAAGGCAGAUGAGCUUCUACGAGUUCCAUCCCUGCCAUCAGCAUAAGGAUUGCCUGAUUCAGACAACCGUGUGGACCCAGAGGAAAAGGCAGCAUUGGCACACAUCAGCAACAGGAAGGGAAGGUGAAGUCCCAUGCCUCUCCCUACAGGUGUUCCUGGAAGGUGGUGUCAGAAGUAGAAUCCAAAGGAGAGCUUCUAACAACCCCCAGGAGUGCUGAGUGACCAAGUGAGGUAUCAUUGUGUCCAUUGCUCCCUCAGAGCAACUGAGGAUCAUGGAUGAAUUAACAAAAUACCUAAUAUGGGGAUUGUGAAGAACACAUUCAAGCUUCAGAUUGAGGUAUAAAGGCCAUUCAGUGACGACAAAGAAGAAAGGUUAAGAAUGCCAUGUUGGAAGUCCUUUGAAUCCUGCAAAAAAAGAACUAUGCAAAUCCACUGUUGAUUGCCAAAGGGUUCCAGCACAAUAACUUUAGGGAAGAAGAGAAGAUGAUUUAACGACUGAGGUUUUUCCUUUUUUUUAUUGGUUGGUUGGUUUUUUUACAUCAGAUGGGUAAUGUGCAAAUGUGGUAACAAGGUUGGAGGGCAGCAUAUCUCGCACAUGAGUAUAAAUACCCAAUCAUCACACAUAAGUUGCAAAAGGAUCAACAACUGCAUUUUGUAAAGCUGUGAGGUUUUCUGUUAUUUUAAAUCCCCAUAAUAGGUCAGAACCCUUUGCUAGGCAUAAUGGAAGAGAUGGGUGUACAUUAUGUACAAUUUCUGUGUUCUGUGGUAGCCUAAGGAAAGAUGCCCAGAUCUGGAAAUAAAGCACAGCACCAUAAUGACAGUGAUCA
rnacentral:lncRNA from 1 species